GAAACCUCCGAAUGGUGCACAGGUUCUCCCACAGAGUGCGGUUCUCUGGGCUGGGGUUCUCCUUCCACCGAAGCAGCUCACACAGCCAACCCUGGAGAAGAGAAGGAGGGGGGUUCUGUUGCCAUGGGCCCUACACAGCUGUGGAGCCAAAGAAUCAACACCCUCAUACCGACGAGCCAUGGCACUGGAUAAGGAAGAAGGAUGAAAAGCACCACGAGAGAAAAGACAAGACAAAGUAUCAAGGGAUACAAUGGGAAAUAACAUAUAUACAAAGAAAAAUAUGAGAGACUAAAUGAAAUUUAGCAAAAAAAAGUUGAAAAGUUGAAAAUGCGCAGGUUGUGUGAGGUAAACGCAGGAGAGGAAGAUGGGGAAGGAGAGAUGGAGAAGAUUCAAUUAUGUCUGCUAGACUGGUUCAGUUUGUGACACCAGCUGUUGUGUUCAACCAGCCACCUCGGGCAGCAUGCACCACUAAUAGCCUGAUCAUCUCUCUCUUCCUCUCUCCCUGUCCUUGUGGCCAGCUGCAGCAGAUGGGUGCGCUGAGCCGUGACCCUCAGCCACCCCCAGACCCGCCAACCUGGGGGACCUCUCUAACCGCACACACACACACGCGUGUACACACUGUAUUCACGAUGCAUACGUUCUCACGUUUUUUGUUGUUGUUGUUGAAUGCAGUUGUUAUCCUGCUAGCUAAGUUAGCUUCAUUUAUUGGUGUUCAUGCUGGCUUACUUGCAUUACUUUCUUGAACUUACAUUAAUGCUCAGCACUUCAUUAUUCAAAAUGGUAUUUAUUAUUUUUAUGGCUUAUUAAUCAGUUUUACUGUAAAUCAUUACAGUUUUUUGUUGUACAAGUAGUAUAAAGAGAACUACAAUCUGAAUUCCAUUAUACAACCCUGAGUCAUAAAUGAAUUCAAUAACCCUGAAUUCUUGAAUGUAGGAAAUGAGUCCUCUUUUAUGAUGAUCUUUCAAUUCAUUCUUCUUUUCUGACAGAUUCCCACCAGACAUGUAUGAAGACAUACAUACAAAAAGUCUGCAAAUGUCGUAAAAAAAAAAAAAAAAGGAUUUCCCCUUUCGAAAACCUUAAAAAGUCCGGUUUCAAGGCAUAGAACUUCAGAUUAAUUAAAAAUUAAGACAAAACAAAAGCACAUUAAAAUAGUUAUCAAAGCUCUGAGAAAACAAAACAGCAGAGAACUUUCAUCACGAGCCAAGUGACAGGUGACACAGUUGAUGACUGGGAAUGUGUACAGUGUGGCAGAUCACCAAGUCGAGGCAGUGCUCCAACUUUGGUCUCUGCAGUUUGAUGUUUUUUUUAGCUCUGGAAUUCAUAAGCUUUUCAAAACUGUUUUGAUUCACAUAUUUAUCAAGCAGAAAAUAUCUUCUUGUGCUAAAAAAUUAAAGAUCUAAUUGGUCCAAAACGGAACAACUUAAAGGUCCAGUGUGUAACAGUUAGGAGGAUCUAUUGUCAGAAAUGGAAUAUAAUAUUCAUAGGCAUGUUUUCAUUAGUGUAUAAUCACCUGAAUAUAGGAAUUGUUUGUAAACUUAGAAUGAGCCGUUUCUAUCUGCAGACGCCGCCAUGUUAGAUUUGACCUUUAAUGGCUUCUGUUUUCCCAGUGAUUCCCUCACCUGGCUCUUGUUGGCGGCCACCUUCGCGAACAGGGCUUGGGACACCUUGGCUCUCUUCAUCUCCUGCUGAAUUUCGUCGUAGAUUCCCGAUGUAAUGUUAACCAGCGACUCCAGCUUCAGCGGGAGGUCAGGGGCUGGGCCCGGCGGCUUCGGCUGAGAGGGAGGAUCAAGACAUAAUGUAACACACAAAAUGUCUAAGUGAUAACAGACUGCGGGCCCUACUAGCUACACUACACUAACCUGCGAGAGGCGUGGAGUACUGGGGUUGGAGGAGUUGGAGGCAGGAAGGCCAACUGAAGGGUUCAUGGUGCGCUCUCUCUCCUCCUGGUAGAUCCGGUCUCUCUCACUCUCAGGCAGGUUGAGGAAGUUCUGCAUUGCUUUCAGAUUCACCAGCAGAGACUGCGAGGCUGUGCGAGGGUCCUCCUCCUUCCGCAGGAUCUCUGAGAGCAAGCCCUGAACGAUAAAGACACACAUCUGCACUAUGAACUUUGUGAAGAAGGAUGUGUUAUUGCUUUAUAAUGUCUCCAUAAUCAUUAAGUUCAAACCUCUAUUCCUCUUAGACAAACGGAUUUGGAUUGAAGUGGAUUAUCCAAAUGCAUGCUUUUAUGUUUUCUUCUUAACAGGGAUGAUUGGGUAUUUGUUGUUGCUUGGCUUGGGAAUUGGGCCCACGGUUUUUAUUGUGAUUAAUAAAAAAUUGGUUAAA